GGGGAACUGAACACUUGGAGGCCAACAGGAAGGUGAAGAAGAACUCAUUCGUGUGCUGGGAGGGUGGCACACCCCAACUCCACAGGGACAGAAGCUCUUGCACUCAGGACCCUUUCAGAGCUGGCCCUGUGUAUGUCGUUAUCUGGCUGUUUAUUUGUAUCUUUUAAAAUCUACUUUGUAAUAAACUGGUGAAGAAUGAAAGCCAGAGGUUCAUAGAGAUAGGUGAUCAGGAAACAGAAUCCUCACUCUUAGCAUGUGCUGGGGAGGACCACACCUGCUUUCUUUUCUGUUGGAGGAAUUUUGGGUGUGUGCAG
rnacentral:lncRNA from 10 species